UGAUGGAGAAUCAUGAGAGAUGGCAGGCCAU
rnacentral:piRNA from 1 species